UGAACGCUAGCUACAGGCUUAACACAUGCAAGUCGAGGGGCAGCAUUUCAGUUUGCUUGCAAACUGGAGAUGGCGACCGGCGCACGGGUGAGUAACACGUAUCCAACCUGCCGAUAACUCGGGGAUAGCCUUUCGAAAGAAAGAUUAAUACCCGAUGGUAUAAUCAGACCACAUGGUUUGAUUAUUAAAGAAUUUCGGUUAUCGAUGGGGAUGCGUUCCAUUAGGCAGUUGGUGAGGUAACGGCUCACCAAACCUUCGAUGGAUAGGGGUUCUGAGAGGAAGGUCCCCCACAUUGGAACUGAGACACGGUCCAAACUCCUACGGGAGGCAGCAGUGAGGAAUAUUGGUCAAUGGGCGCAGGCCUGAACCAGCCAAGUAGCGUGAAGGAUGACUGCCCUAUGGGUUGUAAACUUCUUUUAUAUGGGAAUAAAGUUUUCCACGUGUGGAAUUUUGUAUGUACCAUAUGAAUAAGGAUCGGCUAACUCCGUGCCAGCAGCCGCGGUAAUACGGAGGAUCCGAGCGUUAUCCGGAUUUAUUGGGUUUAAAGGGAGCGUAGGUGGACAGUUAAGUCAGUUGUGAAAGUUUGCGGCUCAACCGUAAAAUUGCAGUUGAUACUGGCUGUCUUGAGUACAGUAGAGGUGGGCGGAAUUCGUGGUGUAGCGGUGAAAUGCUUAGAUAUCACGAAGAACUCCGAUUGCGAAGGCAGCUCACUGGACUGCAACUGACACUGAUGCUCGAAAGUGUGGGUAUCAAACAGGAUUAGAUACCCUGGUAGUCCACACAGUAAACGAUGAAUACUCGCUGUUUGCGAUAUACAGUAAGCGGCCAAGCGAAAGCAUUAAGUAUUCCACCUGGGGAGUACGCCGGCAACGGUGAAACUCAAAGGAAUUGACGGGGGCCCGCACAAGCGGAGGAACAUGUGGUUUAAUUCGAUGAUACGCGAGGAACCUUACCCGGGCUUAAAUUGCAUUUGAAUAAUCUGGAAACAGGUUAGCCGCAAGGCAAAUGUGAAGGUGCUGCAUGGUUGUCGUCAGCUCGUGCCGUGAGGUGUCGGCUUAAGUGCCAUAACGAGCGCAACCCUUAUCUUUAGUUACUAACAGGUCAUGCUGAGGACUCUAGAGAGACUGCCGUCGUAAGAUGUGAGGAAGGUGGGGAUGACGUCAAAUCAGCACGGCCCUUACGUCCGGGGCUACACACGUGUUACAAUGGGGGGUACAGAAGGCAGCUACCUGGUGACAGGAUGCUAAUCCCAAAAGCCUCUCUCAGUUCGGAUCGAAGUCUGCAACCCGACUUCGUGAAGCUGGAUUCGCUAGUAAUCGCGCAUCGGCCAUGGCGCGGUGAAUACGUUCCCGGGCCUUGUACACACCGCCCGUCAAGCCAUGAAAGCCGGGGGUACCUGAAGUACGUAACCGCAAGGAGCGUCCUAGGGUAAAACUGGUAA
rnacentral:rRNA from 1 species